ensembl:rRNA 5S_rRNA 5S ribosomal RNA
ACCUGAAACCAAGCAAAAUUGGGCCUGGUUAAAACUGUAUUUGGAUAGGAGACUACCUAGAAAUAGCAGAUGUUGUAGGUU